rnacentral:rRNA from 1 species
CUACGGAGGGAGCAAGCGUUAAUCGGAAUUACUGGGCGUAAAGCGCACGUAGGCGGAUUAAAAGGUUAGAGGUGAAAUCCCAGGGCUUAACCCUGGAACUGCCUUUAAAACUAGUAGUCUAGAGUUUGAGAGAGGUGAGUGGAAUUCCAAGUGUAGAGGUGAAAUUCGUAGAUAUUUGGAGGAACACCAGUGGCGAAGGCGGCUCACUGGCUCGAUACUGACGCUGAGGCGCGAAAGCGUGGGGAGCAAACAGGAUUAGAAACCCGAGUAGUCC